rnacentral:rRNA from 1 species
GAUGAACGCUGGCGGCGUGCCUAAUACAUGCUAGUCGAGCGAACGGACGAGAAGCUUGCUUCUCUGAUGUUAGCGGCGGACGGGUGAGUAACACGUGGAUAACCUACCUAUAAGACUGGGAUAACUUCGGGAAACCGGAGCUAAUACCGGAUAAUAUUUUGAACCGCAUGGUUCAAAAGUGAAAGACGGUCUUGCUGUCACUUAUAGAUGGAUCCGCGCUGCAUUAGCUAGUUGGUAAGGUAACGGCUUACCAAGGCAACGAUGCAUAGCCGACCUGAGAGGGUGAUCGGCCACACUGGAACUGAGACACGGUCCAGACUCCUACGGGAGGCAGCAGUAGGGAAUCUUCCGCAAUGGGCGAAAGCCUGACGGAGCAACGCCGCGUGAGUGAUGAAGGUCUUCGGAUCGUAAAACUCUGUUAUUAGGGAAGAACAUAUGUGUAAGUAACUGUGCACAUCUUGACGGUACCUAAUCAGAAAGCCACGGCUAACUACGUGCCAGCAACCGCGGUAAUACGUAGGUGGCAAGCGUUAUCCGGAAUUAUUGGGCGUAAAGCGCGCGUAGGCGGUUUUUUAAGUCUGAUGUGAAAGCCCACGGCUCAACCGUGGAGGGUCAUUGGAAACUGGAAAACUUGAGUGCAGAAGAGGAAAGUGGAAUUCCAUGUGUAGCGGUGAAAUGCGCAGAGAUAUGGAGGAACACCAGUGGCGAAGGCGACUUUCUGGUCUGUAACUGACGCUGAUGUGCGAAAGCGUGGGGAUCAAACAGGAUUAGAUACCCUGGUAGUCCACGCCGUAAACGAUGAGUGCUAAGUGUUAGGGGGUUUCCGCCCCUUAGUGCUGCAGCUAACGCAUUAAGCACUCCGCCUGGGGAGUACGACCGCAAGGUUGAAACUCAAAGGAAUUGACGGGGACCCGCACAAGCGGUGGAGCAUGUGGUUUAAUUCGAAGCAACGCGAAGAACCUUACCAAAUCUUGACAUCCUUUGACAACUCUAGAGAUAGAGCCUUCCCCUUCGGGGGACAAAGUGACAGGUGGUGCAUGGUUGUCGUCAGCUCGUGUCGUGAGAUGUUGGGUUAAGUCCCGCAACGAGCGCAACCCUUAAGCUUAGUUGCCAUCAUUAAGUUGGGCACUCCAAGUUGACUGCCGGUGACAAACCGGAGGAAGGUGGGGAUGACGUCAAAUCAUCAUGCCCCUUAUGAUUUGGGCUACACACGUGCUACAAUGGACAAUACAAAGGGCAGCGAAACCGCGAGGUCAAGCAAAUCCCAUAAAGUUGUUCUCAGUUCGGAUUGUAGUCUGCAACUCGACUACAUGAAGCUGGAAUCGCUAGUAAUCGUAGAUCAGCAUGCUACGGUGAAUACGUUCCCGGGUCU